GAAUAGCUCAGUCAGUAGAGCAUGAGACUCUUAAUCUUAGGGUCAAGGGUUCGAGCCCCAAGUUGGACA
rnacentral:tRNA from 1 species